CUCGUGAGUCAUCCCUGCUGGGUGAGAAGGUGGGCACAACGUUAGGCCCUGACUACAGGUUGCUAGGAUUAAGUACUGAACGCCAGAUGAUUGUCAUAAAUAAACUAGAGUGAGGUCCUGAGACCAGCAAAGCUGCUCAGUGUCUGCUAAGCCUGACUCACUGGCUGGACUGGCUCGU
rnacentral:lncRNA from 1 species